AGCGAACGCUGGCGGCAGGCCUAACACAUGCAAGUCGAACGGAUCCUUCGGGAUUAGUGGCGGACGGGUGAGUAACACGUGGGAACGUGCCCUUUGGUUCGGAACAACUCAGGGAAACUUGAGCUAAUACCGGAUGUGCCCUUCGGGGGAAAGAUUUAUCGCCAUUGGAGCGGCCCGCGUCUGAUUAGCUAGUUGGUGAGGUAAAGGCUCACCAAGGCUACGAUCAGUAGCUGGUCUGAGAGGAUGAUCAGCCACAUUGGGACUGAGACACGGCCCAAACUCCUACGGGAGGCAGCAGUGGGGAAUCUUGCGCAAUGGGCGAAAGCCUGACGCGGCCAUGCCGCGUGAAUGAUGAAGGUCUUAGGAUUGUAAAAUUCUUUCACCGGGGACGAUAAUGACGGUACCCGGAGAAGAAGCCCCGGCUAACUUCGUGCCAGCCGCCGCGGUAAUAC
rnacentral:rRNA from 1 species